GAUGAACGCUGGCGGCGUGCCUAAUACAUGCAAGUCGAGCGAACAGACGAGGAGCUUGCUCCUCUGACGUUAGCGGUGGACGGGUGAGUAACACGUGGAUAACCUACCUAUAAGACUGGGAUAACUUCGGGAAACCGGAGCUAAUACCGGAUAACAUGUUGAACCGCAUGGUUCAACAGUGAAUGACGGUCUUGCUGUCACUUAUAGAUGGAUCCGCGCCGCAUUAGCUCGUUGGUAAGGUAACGGCUGACCAAGGCAACGAUGCGUAGCCGACCUGAGAGGGUGAUCGGCCACACUGGAACUGAGACACGGUCCAGACUCCUACGGGAGGCAGCAGUAGGGAAUCUUCCGCAAUGGGCGAAAGCCUGACGGAGCAACGCCGCGUGAGUGAAGAAGGUCUUCGGAUCGUAAAACUCUGUUAUUAGGGAAGAACAAAUGUGUAAGUAACUAUGCACGUCUUGACGGUACCUAAUCAGAAAGCCACGGCUAACUACGUGCCAGCCGCCGCGGUAA
rnacentral:rRNA from 1 species